CAGCAGCCGCGGGAAUACAGAGGGUGCAAGCGUUAAUCGGAUUUACUGGGCGUAAAGGGCGCGUAGGUGGUUAUGUAAGUGAGAUGUGAAAUCCCCGGGCUCAACCUGGGAACUGCAUCUUAUACUGCGUAGCUGGAGUGCAGUAGAGGGUAGUGGAAUUUCCGGUGUAGCGGUGAAAUGCGUAGAUAUCGGAAGGAACACCAGUGGCGAAGGCGGCUACCUGGACUGACACUGACACUGAGGCGCGAAAGCGUGGGGAGCAAACAGGAUUAGAUACCCCGGUAGUCCCUGUCUCUUAUAC
rnacentral:rRNA from 1 species